rnacentral:tRNA from 1 species
UCCCAGUUCGUCUAACGGUUCAAGAUACGGCACUUUCACUACAUAAGCGUGACUAAGCAUUGUGCUGUUGUUGCAAUCUGCUGAGAUCGGGGUUCGAUUCCCCGGCCGGGAA